rnacentral:rRNA from 1 species
GAUGAACGCUGGCGGCGUGCCUAAUACAUGCAAGUCGAACGCUGGAAAUCUAGCUUGCUAGAUUGAAGGAGUGGCGAACGGGUGAGUAAUACAUAAGCAACCUACCCACGAAGACUGGGAUAAUCUCUGGAAACGGGGACUAAUACCGGAUAGGUAAUCGGAAGGCAUCUUCUGAUUAUUAAAGGUUAAAAACACUGGUGGAUGGGCUUAUGGCGCAUUAGUUAGUUGGUGAGGUAACGGCCCACCAAGACGAUGAUGCGUAGCCGGCCUGGGGGGGGGAACGGCGACAGUGGGACUGGGCAACGGCCCAGACUCCUACGGGAGGCAGCAGUAGGGGAUUUUCGGCAAUGGGGGAAACCCUGACCGGGCAACGCCGCGUGAGUGAUGACGGCCUUCGGGUUGUAAAGCUCUGUUGUAAGGGAAGAACGGUAGAUAGAGGAUGUCUAAAUGACGGUACCUGACCAGAAAGCCACGGCUAACUACGUG